GAGUUUGAUCAUGGCUCAGAUUGAACGCUGGCGGCAUGCCUUACACAUGCAAGUCGAACGGCAGCACGGGAGCUUGCUCCUGGGUGGCGAGUGGCGAACGGGUGAGUAAUGCAUCGGAACGUAUCCUGGAGUGGGGGAUAACGUAGCGAAAGUUACGCUAAUACCGCAUAUUCUGUGAGCAGGAAAGCGGGGGACCUUCGGGCCUCGCGCUCUUGGAGCGGCCGAUGUCGGAUUAGCUAGUUGGUGAGGUAAAGG
rnacentral:rRNA from 1 species